rnacentral:rRNA from 1 species
GACGAACGCUGGCGGCGUGCUUAACACAUGCAAGUCGAGCGGUAAGGCCCUUUCGGGGGUACGACGAGCGGCGAACGGGUGAGUAACACGUGGGUGACCUGCCCUCAGCUCUGGGAUAAGCCUGGGAAACCGGGUCUAAUACUGGAUAUGACUCCAUGACGCAUGUUGGUGGGGUGGAAAGCCUUGUGCGGCUGAGGAUGGGCCCGCGGCUAUCAGCUUGUUGGUGGGGUGAGGCCUACCAAGGCGACGACGGGUAGCCGGCCUGAGAGGGCGACCGGCCACACUGGGACUGAGACACGGCCCAGACUCCUACGGGAGGCAGCAGUGGGGAAUCUUGCGCAAUGGGCGAAAGCCUGACGCAGCGACGCCGCGUGAGGGAU